UGGCCACUAAAAGAAAUUUAAGUUUAGUGAGGUGACUUAUCUGAAUCCUCAAUCUAUUCCUUGCUUCUCCAAAUCCUAACCCAGGACACAUAUUUGUUUCUAUUUGUCUCAUCCUCCUUCUCCCAUCUUCCCUCCGUUCUUCCCAGUUAUGUCUACUUUUCAUAUAGUCUCUCUUAAGCAAGAUCGUCUGCUAAUAUUCAUUUGAUGCUCUGGAGGAACUGUUGCCUUUAUAGAAGGGUUAUUUGUGAUGCUUCCAUGGAGAGAGUUGCACUCAAUGUGCUCUUU
rnacentral:sRNA from 1 species